rnacentral:lncRNA from 1 species
AAAGUUUCAUCAUCAUAGAAACUUUCAAAAAUCUGGUAAAAAAAUCGUUUCGAAUAUUUGAAAUGUUUGAGUUUUGUCUUACUUUUUAAUUUCUGAGGUUUCAAACUUUCGAAGGUUUGGUAGAGUCAGGUUCGAAUAUUUCAAAGUUUCGAAGGAAGUUGGUAAAAAAUUGAACCCAGUGAUUUCCAUUAAUUAAGGAAGAAAAUAACAAACCCAAUACAUUAAAAUAGAAGAAAAUAAAUAAAUUAAAACGGAAGAAAAUAAUUACCGGAACCUAGUGAUUUCCAUUAACAAACCCAAUACAACAAAUGCGAUCAUUUUUUGUUAAUACUGAAUGUGAACCCCUCAUAAGAAAGUCAUUGAAAAUGUCUGACCAAACGUGACAAGAAUAAUAUUAUAUGUUGUCGCUAUCACGUAACCCAUAUCAGGUAUGGAAAACCAUUUAUCCAUGGGUUGAAGACCUAAGCCGAGUAUCUUCAACGAAUCUCUUACUUCUCUAAUGAGUCCUGUGAACAGUCUAUCAUAUGGAGUUACAUGAGAAACAAUCUCAUGGUCCAAACUAUUGCAUAACAAAGACCAACACUCUUCACCGUGUCCAAGCAAUAAUGCAAUAGCGCGAAAACCACAAUUUCCAUCCGCUGCCACAUCAAAUAUGUCAUAAAUGUAUAGCUGAAUAACAUCAGGAAAUUGUCUCAAGAACAACUGUUUUGAAGAUUGAGAUGACUGAUAGCAUUUCAGCAAGUGUACUGAAUCGUUG